rnacentral:rRNA from 1 species
UUUUAUUUGAGAGUUUGAUCCUGGCUCAGGAUGAACGCUGGCGGCGUGCCUAACACAUGCAAGUCGAACGAAGCACCUU